rnacentral:rRNA from 1 species
AGAGUUUGAUCCUGGCUCAGGACGAACGCUGGCGGCAUGCCUUACACAUGCAAGUCGAACGGCAGCACGGGGGCAACCCUGGUGGCGAGUGGCGAACGGGUGAGUAAUGCAUCGGAAUGUACCCAGCAGUGGGGGAUAACCAGUCGAAAGACUGGCUAAUACCGCAUACGCACUACGGUGGAAAGCGGGGGAUCGCAAGACCUCGCGCGAUUGGAGUGGUCGAUGUCAGAUUAGCUAGUUGGUGGGGUAAAGGCCUACCAAGGCGACGAUCUGUAGCUGGUCUGAGAGGACGACCAGCCACACUGGGACUGAGACACGGCCCAGACUCCUACGGGAGGCAGCAGUGGGGAAUUUUGGACAAUGGGGGCAACCCUGAUCCAGCCAUUCCGCGUGAGUGAAGAAGGCCUUCGGGUUGUAAAGCUCUUUCAGCCGGGAAGAAAUCGGCGACUCUAACAUAGUCGCUGGAUGACGGUACCGGACUAAGAAGCACCGGCUAACUACGUGCCAGCAGCCGCGGUAAUA